UACGUAGGGUGCGAGCGUUAAUCGGAAUACUGGGCGUAAAGCGUGCGCAGGCGGUUCGUUGUGUCGGCGGUGAAAGCCCCGGGCUUAACCUGGGAACUGGCCGUUGAAACUGGACGAACUGGAGUGUGGCAGGAGGGGGGUGGAAUUCCGGCGUGUAGCAGUGAAAUGCGUAGGAGAUGCGGAGGAACACCGAUGGCGAAGGCAGCCCCCUGGGCGUAACACUGACGCUCAGGCACGAAAGCGUGGGGAGCAAACAGG
rnacentral:rRNA from 1 species